rnacentral:tRNA from 1 species
GGCACUGUGGCUUAGUUGGUUAAAGCGCCUGUCUAGUAAACAGGAGAUCCUGGGUCCAAAACCCAGCAGUGCCU